rnacentral:rRNA from 1 species
UACGGAAGGCAGCAGUGGGGAAUAUUGCACAAUGGGCGCAAGCCUGAUGCAGCCAUGCCGCGUGUAUGAAGAAGGCCUUCGGGUUGUAAAGUACUUUCAGUCGUGAGGAAGGUGUUAAGGUUAAUAACCUUAGCAAUUGACGUUAGCGACAGAAGAAGCACCGGCUAACUCCGUGCCAGCAGCCGCGGUAAUACGGAGGGUGCGAGCGUUAAUCGGAAUUACUGGGCGUAAAGGGCACGCAGGCGGUUAAUUAAGUUGGAUGUGAAAUCCCCGGGCUUAACCUGGGAAUGGCAUUCAAGACUGGUUAGCUAGAGUCUUGUAGAGGGGGUAGAAUUCCAUGUGUAGCGGUGAAAUGCGUAGAGAUGUGGAGGAAUACCGGUGGCGAAGGCGGCCCCUGGACAAAGACUGACGCUCAUGUGCGAAAGCGUGGGGAGCAGGACAGGGAUUAGAUACCC